GGUCUACCACCGGGAUGUUCAUAACCCUUUGUUGUCCGACUCUGUUGCCUCCGGGGCGACCCUGCCUUCGGGCGGGGGCUCCGGGUGGACACUUCAAACUCUUGCGUAACUUUGCAGUCUGAGUAAACUUAAUUAAUAAAUUAAAACUUUUAACAACGGAUCUCUUGGUUCUGGCAUCGAUGAAGAACGCAGCGAAAUGCGAUAAGUAAUGUGAAUUGCAGAAUUCAGUGAAUCAUCGAAUCUUUGAACGCACAUUGCGCCCCCUGGUAUUCCGGGGGGCAUGCCUGUUCGAGCGUCAUUUCACCACUCAAGCCUCGCUUGGUAUUGGGCAUCGCGGUCCGCCGCGUGCCUCAAAUCGACCGGCUGGGUCUUCUGUCCCCUAAGCGUUGUGGAAACUAUUCGCUAAAGGGUGUUCGGGAGGCUACGCCGUAAAACAACCCCAUUUCUAAGGUUGACCUCGGAUCAGGUAGGGAUACCCGCUGAACUUAAGCAUAUCAAUAAGCGGA
rnacentral:rRNA from 1 species